rnacentral:rRNA from 1 species
GACGAACGCUGGCGGCGUGCUUAGCACAUGCAAGUCGAAUGGAAAGGCCCUGCUUUUGUGGGGUGCUCGAGUGGCGAACGGGUGAGUAACACGUGAGUAACCUGCCCUUGACUUUGGGAUAACUUCAGGAAACUGGGGCUAAUACCGGAUAGGAGCUCCUGCUGCAUGGUGGGGGUUGGAAAGUUUCGGCGGUUGGGGAUGGACUCGCGGCUUAUCAGCUUGUUGGUGGGGUAGUGGCUUACCAAGGCUUUGACGGGUAGCCGGCCUGAGAGGGUGACCGGCCACAUUGGGACUGAGAUACGGCCCAGACUCCUACGGGAGGCAGCAGUGGGGAAUAUUGCACAAUGGGCGGAAGCCUGAUGCAGCAACGCCGCGUGCGGGAUGACGGCCUUCGGGUUGUAAACCGCUUUCGCCUGUGACGAAGCGUGAGUGACGGUAAUGGGUAAAGAAGCACCGGCUAACUACGUG